rnacentral:rRNA from 1 species
GAGUUUGACAUGGCUCAGGAUGAACGCUAGCGGCAGGCCUAAUACAUGCAAGUCGAACGGUAAAUAUUGUAGCAAUACGAUAUGAGAGUGACGUACGGGUGCGUAACACGUAUGCAACCUACCCAUAACUGGAGGAUAGCUCCCCGAAAGGGGAAUUAACCCUCCAUAGUAAGAUUGGAUGGCAUCAUUUGAUCUUUAAAACUCCGGUGGUUAUGGAUGGGCAUGCGUCUGAUUAGCUAGUUGGCGGUGUAACGGACCACCAAGGCGAUGAUCAGUAGGGGAACUGAGAGGUUGAUCCCCCACACUGGCACUGAGAUACGGGCCAGACUCCUACGGGAGGCAGCAGUAGGGAAUAUUGGUCAAUGGAUGCAAGUCUGAACCAGCCAUGCCGCGUGCAGGAAGAAGGCCCUAUGGGUUGUAAACUGCUUUUGCCAGGGGAUAAAACGACCUUGCGAGGUUAAUUGAAGGUACCUGGUGAAUAAGCCACGGCUAACUACGUGCCAGCAGCCGCGGUA